rnacentral:snoRNA from 1 species
GGUACCCCUAGAGGGGUUGUAGGUGUGGCUGCUGUGUCAUGUGUGAGUCAGCAGGUGGCAGGGAGGCUCUGUCUAUGCUCACUGUUCUGACCUACAAAAAUCUGAGGGAUGACUAGCCUCACAUU